rnacentral:tRNA from 1 species
AAUUAAUGAGCUUGAACAAGCAUAUGCUUUGAAAGCAUAAGAUGAUAGUAUAAAUCUAUUAUUAAUUU